GCAACAAUGUGGGCUCUCUUAGGCUGACAAUGGAAGCAAACAGUGAAGAAGGCCAGGCCACUGUCCCAACCUCAUUUCCACUGUAUUCACCAGAUGGCCUUAAAAGAGAUCAGCAAAGGAAACCAUACAAUGAGAGCAAAUAGGACAAUGGGAGACACUACAGCUGCAGAAGAUGUCACUUAUGACUCUUUGUGUCUGCAAUAUCAUUCAGGUUAAUAAUAUAUCUGGCCCUAAACACACAGCAGAGGACCACAGGGAAAAAUAAUUACCCCUUCUCUUACUUA